ensembl:misc_RNA Metazoa_SRP Metazoan signal recognition particle RNA
GCCGGGUGUGGUGGCACGUGCCUGUAGUCCCAGCUAUUCGGGAACAUGAGGUGGAAGGGUUGCCUGAGGCCAGGAAUUCUGGUUUACUAUGCCAAUCCGGUGUCCACACUAAGUUGGGCAUCAAUAUGGUGACCUUCUUGGAGCGUGGACCACCAGGUUGCCUAAGGAGGGGUGAACCGGCCCAGGUCGGAAACAGAGUAGGUCAAAACUCCCAUGCUGAUUGGUAAUUUCUUUUACUUUCAUUUUAUGUACACAUAUUGUGCAGGAAGAAGAGACUUGAAAAUGCACAU